rnacentral:rRNA from 1 species
AGUGAGCGCUGGCGGUAGGCCUAACACAUGCAAGUCGAACGGCAGCACAGGAGAGCUUGCUCUCUGGGUGGCGAGUGGCGGACGGGUGAGGAAUACAUCGGAAUCUACUUUUUCGUGGGGGAUAACGUAGGGAAACUUACGCUAAUACCGCAUACGACCUACGGGUGAAAGCAGGGGAUCUUCGGACCUUGCGCGAUUGAAUGAGCCGAUGUCGGAUUAGCUAGUUGGCGGGGUAAAGGCCCACCAAGGCGACGAUCCGUAGCUGGUCUGAGAGGAUGAUCAGCCACACUGGAACUGAGACACCGUCCAGACUCCUACGGGAGGCAGCAGUGGGGAAUAUUGGACAAUGGGCGCAAGCCUGAUCCAGCCAUACCGCGUGGGUGAGGAAGGCCUUCGGGUUGUAAAGCCCUUUUGUUGGGAAAGAAAUCCAGCUGGUUAAUACCCGGUUGGGAUGACGGUACCCAAAGAAUAAGCACCGGCUAACUUCGUGCCAGCCGCCGCAGUAA